GGUCCUACGGGGGGCAGCAGUGGGGAAUAUUGGGCAGUGGAGGAAACUCUUACCCAGCAAUGCCGCGUGAGUGAAGAAGGUCUUCGGAUUGUAAAGCUCUUUGAUUGGGGAUGAAAAAAUGACGGUACCCAAAGAACAAGCCCCGGCUAACUACGUGCCAGCAGCCGCGGUAAUACGUAGGGGGCAAGCGUUGUCCGGAUUUACUGGGUGUAAAGGGAGCGUAGACGGCAGGGCAAGUCUGGAGUGAAAGGCGGGGGCUCAACCCCCGGACUGCUCUGGAAACUGCCAGGCUGGAGUGCAGGAGG
rnacentral:rRNA from 1 species